rnacentral:RNase_P_RNA from 1 species
GUGAGAUGCCCACGUCCACCGUCGGUGCCGCGCAAGCGGCGCUGAGGAAAGUCCGCCCACCGAAACAUAAGGGGACUGUGCGCAAGCGCAGGUGUUGAGAGGCACGGCAACCGCUCAGAAACGAGACCCCCAGGAGCCAAGGGAAUGAUGCGCGCGAAGGCAGGGGGCGACCCUUGCUGCGCAAGCCGCUGACGUCGCUCUUGGGAAGGAUGAAACGGCGAGCCCUCCCUGGUGCAAGUCCUUGAUGGACGCUUAGUUGAAUGUGGAUACGGAGUAUCGCGUGCGCCUUUGCGGCGCCGUUUGGCUCUGACAGAAGGCGGCUUACGGGCAUGACAC